rnacentral:rRNA from 1 species
AUUGAACGCUGGCGGCAGGCCUAACACAUGCAAGUCGAGCGGAUGAAGGGAGCUUGCUCCUGGAUUCAGCGGCGGACGGGUGAGUAAUGCCUAGGAAUCUGCCUGUUAGUGGGGGAUAACGUCCGGACACGGGCGCUAAUACCGCAUACGUCCUGAGGGAGAAAGUGGGGGAUCUUCGGACCUCACGCUAUCAGAUGAGCCUAGGUCGGAUUAGCUAGUUGGUGGGGUAAAGGCCUACCAAGGCGACGAUCCGUAACUGGUCUGAGAGGAUGAUUAGUCACACUGGAACUGAGACACGGUCCAGACUCCUACGGGAGGCAGCAGUGGGGAAUAUUGGACAAUGGGCGAAAGCCUGAUCCAGCCAUGCCGCGUGUGUGAAGAAGGUCUUCGGAUUGUAAAGCACUUUAAGUUGGGAGGAAGGGCAGUAAGUUAAUACCUUGCUGUUUUGACGUUACCAACAGAAUAAGCACCGGCUAACUUCGUG